rnacentral:tRNA from 1 species
AACCCCGGGGUGCAACGGCAAACACUACCGCCUUUGAAGCGGUCGAUCCAGGUUCAAGUCCUGGCGGGGUUG